UUUUUUUUUUCUUUUUCCUGCCAAAGCACAAUUUAAAAGACAGAUGUUUAAUAGUAAAAGAAAUUAUUUUUAAAUGUGACUUUUCUAUAAUUGAGCAAAAAACCUCUCUUGCUAGCUUUGUAUAGUGUAUUCAGCAUUGAAUCUCAGGAUGAAUUUUACUGCAGGGCCAAAAAUGGGAUUAAUUCUCCCACACAUAACUGUGACAGCAAUAUAGGAAUACCAUGUUUGUUUUGUAUUUCAGAAUACUCAAUUUUUAACAAAAACGUUUUGUUGCAAUCAAGCACCUGUAAUCCACAAUACCUGUAGAUGAUGAAAUAAGAAUGUUAACAGCUGUCCGGAAUAAUAAGGUUGAACACGUUUUUCCAGUGAUGAUGCGUUACUUCAGGUGAACCACAGCAACUUGCUUCAGUAUUAGGCAGUCACAUCACACUGUUGGAAGGAGUAUUGAUGCAUCGGGGGGUGUUAGCAGUGCUGUCAUUGUACACAGCUCAUGUCUUUGCAGAAAGACUGGCUAAUACUCUGCAGCCUGUAGAAUGUUGCAGUGCCCCAAUAAUACCUAUGAAUAGACUGAGAUUUUAGCAAAUGGAGGGAAAACAGAAAGCAUUUUUGCAAUAAAGCAUUUUUCCAAUUAUUUUACUGAGUGAAGUGCACUGUGCAGAGUCACUGAUUUUCAUGUAAAUCAGUGCAAUAGUUUUAAACCAUUGAAGUCCUGAGACCCAAAUGAUUUAAGUACAAUCAGCGAUCCAUUUAUCUAUAUUUAGUUUGAAAUUGAUUGAUACAAAAUUAUGAAUGCAUGAUUAAGUAAAUAUAUGUAUGUUUCUUCAACAGUACGCUAAAUUUAAGAGCAAAUCCACUGCCAUCCCAGUUACUCUGGAGACAUUCUUGUUAAGAUUUAAAGCUAGAUUGCUGUUUCGAGAAUUAAAUUGUAUAUACUGUUCAUACAAUGAAUUUUUAUCUUUGUAUUGUAAAUUAUUUGAUAGAACACAUGAUGGGAAAUGUGGCUUCAGUUCAUUUUGUUAAUUAAAGCUACCUCCUAAACAAUAGUGGCUGCCAGUAGCAGAAUGUUUAAAAUGUGGUUUAUAUACUUUUUGCAUUGUAAAUAGACAUGGUUGUAUAUUGUCACUGUAAUAAAAACAGAAUCCUUGUAUAUCAAAAUCAUGUAGUUUGUACAAAAAAUGGGAGGAUUAUUUACUGUAUGCUGUUAAUUUUGUAAGCCAAAAUAUUCACAUGUAAAACAAAAGGGAAGAAAACCAGUCCAGAGUUGUUAAUUCUUAUAUUUACACUCAUGAAUAUUACAUCUGCAAUUAGCAUGGAAUGUUACACUAAAAGCAAAUAAAGGGAACAUGAAUAUU
rnacentral:lncRNA from 1 species